GACGAGGGGUCCAAGCGUUGUUCGGAAUCAUUGGGCGUAAAGCGGGUGUAGGUGGCUCUAUAAGUCAGAAGUGAAAGCCCCGGGCUUAACCCGGGAAGUGCUUUUGAUACUGCAGAGCUUGAAUGUGGGAGAGGGUAGUGGAAUUCCAGGUGUAGUGGUGAAAUACGUAGAUAUGUGGAGGAAUACCGAUGGCGAAGGCAGCCCCCUGGGAUAACACUGACGCUCAUGCACGAAAGCGUGGGGAGCAAACAG
rnacentral:rRNA from 1 species